GCGGGGCGGGCGCGGCGUCGCCAUAGAGACGGGAGAGGCCGUAGCGAGCGGGUGGACUUCCGAGCUUUGUCCCUGCCUCGCCCCUCGGCUGCCCGCGGGGCUUGCUCGCGCCGGGAGCGGCCGUUGCUCGGGCGAGGGGGAUCUCCAGAAAACCCCUGAGCCAAGGCCUGACAGUUCCCAGAACUAAAGGAUCAAUCGAGUUGAUGUGGCCAGCCUACACUGCUGUAGUGCUUCCCAGACUUGCUUCCCAGGGCAUCCUAGAAGGAGAGUUCCUGGCUGGGAUGCACUGCCGAUAUCCAUACUCUGGGUCUGUAAAGAUUUCCAAGCUGCCCCAGAUUGUUCCUGAGAAGAGCUAUAAUACCAUAGUUCAAGAUGGAUCAUUUCAAAUGCAUGCAUAUUGCGGCCCCAUGUUUCCCUCUAGCUUUGAUCUGCUGUGUUUAUACUAUACAGGGAAGGCUUUGGGAAAAAUAGACAUCCUACAUUUCCCUUUCUGCAAGCCUUUUAGCAUUGAUUUUUUUGCACUAUCAUGUCUGCAAGAUCCCGCCAUCUUCUAUACUAGUGGCCUGUCAGCAUUCCCACUAACCAGACAUGAAUUCAAAUUGAAUAAAUGAGAGGCAAGAACCAAGUUUUAAAAACAGGGUUUCCGGACUUCUCAUGUUUGGCAUCUUCAGUUUCUGAAAAGUCUGGGUAGGAUUUUCCUUUAGAUUCAGACCCUGAAAUUUUGUGUUUAAACCUUUCUUUAUGAGCA